rnacentral:tRNA from 1 species
GCUUUCGUGGUGUAAUGGUUAACACACAUGGUGCGUAUUCGAAAGGUCCGAGGUUCGAAUCCUGGCGAGGGCA